rnacentral:rRNA from 1 species
UGGGGAAUUUUGGACAAUGGGAGCAACCCUGAUCCAGCAAUGCCGCGUGUGUGAAGAAGGCCUUCGGGUUGUAAAGCACUUUUGUCCGGAAAGAAAACGCCGUGAUUAAUACCCGUGGCGGAUGACGGCACCGGAAGAAUAAGCACCGGCUAACUACGUGCCAGCAGCCGCGGUAAUACGUAGGGUGCAAGCGUUAAUCGGAAUUACUGGGCGUAAAGCGUGCGCAGGCGGUCCGCUAAGACAGAUGUGAAAUCCCCGGGCUUAACCUGGGAACUGCAUUUGUGACUGGCGGGCUAGAGUAUGGCAGAGGGGGGUAGAAUUCCACGUGUAGCAGUGAAAUGCGUAGAGAUGUGGAGGAAUACCGAUGGCGAAGGCAGCCCCCUGGGCCAAUACUGACGCUCAUGCACGAAAGCGUGGGGAGCAAACAGGAUUAGAUACCCCUGGUAGUCCACGCCCUAAACGAUGUCAAACUAGUUGUCGGGUCUUCAUUGACUUGGUAACGUAGCUAACGCGUGAAGUUGACCGCCUGGGGGAGUACGGUCGCAAGACUGAAACUUAAAGGAAUUGACGGGGUC